rnacentral:rRNA from 1 species
AACAAGGAUUCCCCUAGUAACUGCGAGUGAAGCGGGAAAAGCUCAAAUUUAAAAUCUGGCGGUCUUUGGCCGUCCGAGUUGUAAUUUAGAGAAGUGUUAUCCGCGCUGGACCGUGUACAAGUCUCCUGGAACGGAGCGUCAUAGAGGGUGAGAAUCCCGUCUUUGACACGGACCACCAGUGCUUUGUGAUGCGCUCUCGAAGAGUCGAGUUGUUUGGGAAUGCAGCUCAWAAUGGGUGGUAAAUUCCAUCUAAAGCUAAAUAUUGGCGAGAGACCGAURGCGAACAAGUACCGUGAGGGAAAGAUGAAAAGAACUUUGGAAAGAGAGUUAAACAGUACGUGAAAUUGUUGAAAGGGAAACGCUUGAAGUCAGUCGCGUUGUCCGGGGAUCAACCUUGCAUUCGUGCUUGGCGUACUUCCCGGUCGACGGGUCAGCAUCAAUUUUGACCGCUGGAUAAAGGUCAGGGGAAUGUGGCAUCCUCGGAUGUGUUAUAGCCUCUGGCUGCAUACRGCGGUCGGGAUUGAGGAACUCAUCACGCCGCAAGGCCGGGUUUUUAACCACGUACGUGCUUAGGAUGCUGGCAUAAUGGCUUUAAUCGACCCGUCUUGAAACACGGACCAAGGAGUCUAACAUGCCCGCGAGUGUUUGGGUGGAAAACCCGAGCGCGCAAUGAAAGUGAAAGUUGAGAUCUCUGUCGUGGAGAGCAUCGACGCCCGGACCAGACCUUCUGUGACGGAUCCGCGGUAGAGCGUGUAUGUUGGGACCCGAAAGAUGGUGAACUAUGCCUGAAUAGGGUGAAGCCAGAGGAAACUCUGGUGGAGGCUCGUAGCGAUUCUGACGUGCAAAUCGAUCGUCUAGUUUGGGUAUAGGGGCGAAAGACUAA